rnacentral:rRNA from 1 species
UGCUUCUUAUUUUAAUAAAUAUAUUUAUUUAUUAUAUUUAAGUAUUCAUGAAAUUUGAAUAUAAUUCUAGGUAAAAAAUUGAUAAUGACAAAUUUUUAUCUAUUUGUCUUGACCAAAUCUUGUGCCAGCAGUCGCGGCAACACAAGGAAGACAAGUGUUAUUCAUCUUAAAUCGGUUUAAGGGGUACCUAGACGGUAAAUUAGGCCAUAGUAGGAACGUUUUUACUAGAGUUAUACAUGCAUGGGGAUUGUGUCAGUAUUACCAGAGUAGAGAUGAAAUUUUUUGAUACUGUUAAGACUG